rnacentral:misc_RNA from 1 species
UAAAGGUGCAUGAGUGGUGUUUGGUUUGAUACGGGUGGUUGGCUCCCUGCUUGAGCAGGCACGGCCACGCGUGCAUUCCUUUUCAGUUGUCCGGCAAGACUUGUAUUGUCUUGAUCGUAUAAGUGGGUUUCUUGUGUUGCAUACCUGAUCAAUGGCAUCGUUUUGAUCAAAAGUGUAUCUUUUUCGUCUGGCAAUGCACCCGCAUUGUCGGAUGAACCGGGCAGCAUCCUCUUUGAUCCAUAAAGUUGACGUGCAUUCGUUGAUUGUUUGGCCCAUUGAGGAUGGCUUGGUCUCUUGGAUAUGGAAGCCAAAGUGGGCAUGGGUUCGUAAGAUCCCUUUACUGCCCUCAUUGAGCGUUCUCGCUUCUCUUAUACGACUGCCUUUCACGUAUGGCACGUCCCAGCGUGUUUGGCUAC